rnacentral:other from 1 species
AAGAGUCUGGUCUAUUCGUGACCGACAAUAUAAUUUUUGGGCUUUACUCUUUCUUAAUGGGGUCGGAUUGUUGUAUGUUGAAUCAGGUACAUCACGGCGGUUUUAUACUUAGCACGGAUUCUGUACAACUUACAAAUAUGACUACCACCUGUAACAACUACAGGCGACCAAAAAUUUAGUCGGAACGAUAGAUUGGAUUUUUU